UGAACACUGGGAACUACUGCAUAUUUUAAACAAAAAAAAAAAUGAUUGAAAUAGACUGAAGAUUGAACCUGGGUAUCAGUAUAACAGGGUACAUCACAGUUUGGUCAUUGUUACCUCUGAAACUUUCCUUUUAAACCUAGAAGUCAAAAACUGGAGAAUCAUAAAUAAACCAGCUUAAAACUUCUAGGUUAAAGCCCCCAUACCACCUUAAUUCUCAUCUCUAAUGACAGUAGUGAACAAAACAUAUCUAAUUAGCAUUGAGAUAUUUUAAAUCGGUAAAAAAUGAAAUUGACUUUGAAGUGUGAUGUUAGAUGAUUUAUUUUGUUUUCUUUUUCCCAUGGUCUACAGAUUUUCCAUGUCUAUGUAAACUAACUCUUCUAAAAACUGACUUUCUACUUUAAGAGCCUUGUGGUGAACCAGAUGUUGUACCUGUUGCACUAUUAUCAUUAACGUUGCACCUACUGAGCAUAAUCUGCUCAUUGACAUAUUCUUCCCAAUGAUUCUUCUGCUGCUUCUUCUCUCCCUCUUCACUAGGAAUAUGUUUUCUGGGCUACAGCCUCUGCCUGAAUAUUUGCUGGGAAUACUGGUCCAAAUUAUUUCCACUUGUCUUCAUUAGACUACUGAAAGCUCCGAGUUAGGAGUACUUACUCUGUAGAGUCAGCUGAGAGGAUGACAGGUAGCCUUGCAAGUGCUGAAGAUUUUAAGUGGCCAUCAUUGUCUUAUUACGAAUAUGCUUGUAACCAAACUUUCUGUGAGGAGAUAUAUAACCUUAUAUGUAACGAAGACAGGUGAUUGCAAUGAGACAAAAAAUACGCCGUCACAUCAGCUGAGUGGAAUUGGAGUAAAUUAACUUUACUCACAUGAGAAUGCAGACUAAUGCAUUUUGGGGUUUAGUUUCUUUUGCACUUCUUUUUUGCCUUCCACAUCAUUAUUAACAAAUACUGAUGUGCUUGAUCAUUAAGGCAAUCAUUAUUUACUAAAAUUCUCAAAAACAAAACAAAACAAAAAAAAAAAAAAAAAGGUGGGGGAGGGAGGAAACAGUUUUUCUCUGUUACCUUGGGUUGAAUGAAAUCAGAAAUACAAUUUCUGCAGACUUCUGAAAAGCAGGAAAAUAGGCUUCAACGAUUGUUCUGCCCUUUGUAUUGCAGUUUAUUUGAGUGCAAAAAUGCAGGCAAGAUUGUAGAGACAAUCUGUAAAAAAACCCGCCCAGGAUUAUACUAAGACUUACUAUUAAGAAAAAUUAUAAAAAACCAAAAAAACAAAAAAACCCAAAAAACCAAAUAAUCCCUCCCACUGUCACCACUUUAUUGAGAAUCAGAAUAGUAAUCUCUGAAGAAUAAAAGCUUUUCAGUUCACUGUUAAAUAAAAUAUGCAAUGCCAAAACUCAUUAUACACAUUUUUUUUCAACCAAGUUAUAACACUUGUGUUAUACAAACAAGAAAAUUUGUAAGGAGGAGGUUUCAGUCAAUACAAUCAAUAUCCAUAAGAAAAAUUUACUUUAGCCAUAUAUUUUAUUUGGAAUUCAUAUGGAAUAAUCUAUUUCUUUUCACACAGAUGCACAACAAACAUCAUAAAUAUGACAAUCCUGUCACUUUUCUGGCUUGUAGAGCCCUUGGAAAGAAAAGGAAAUUUUGAUUCAUCGCACACCAAAAAAUACAUCAGGUCAUUUUCCAUUUCUUCCUCUUUCAGAACUCAGAUGUCGGCACUACUUACAAAUGGCCAAAAUAAAUCUCAAAAGUUUCCCCAUAAACAGAAGUCUCAGUUUCUACUACCUGCUUGAGUUCAUUGAUUAAGCUGUUUUAUAAGAUAAUAAAAUAAAAUAAAGCCCCCCACAAACAGAAAACAUCAUUUGCCCUAAGGCAUUCUAGUGCUUCACUCUUCUGCAGAAGUCCGUAAGUCAUAACUAGAAGUGCAUAAAAGGUGCUGGGCUCAGGCUACACUAGGAUAAGCAAAGCCUGGCUGGGGUGAGCAGAGGAGGGUGUAUGUGGCUCCAUCCAAGACAGAUCUGGCUCAGACUGCAUUAGGCAGACACAGGAGUACCUUGCAGACCAUGGGAUACACUAACUGGAAAACUUAGGUAUCAUAACUCCCAUUGCACGUGCAUUCAAGUCUGAGCUGCAAGAAAACGUAUCUCCUUUCCUCAUGUGGGAAGUAACAGUAGAAAACUGUUGUUUGUUUAUAUGGAUUUAUGUGGAAUAUAAAUGGAUUGUAUCACCAGAGCAGGCAGCCUAUCUAUCCUUUGACCCUCUGGUGGAUCCAGCUUCUGACAUGAAUACAACCAGCUGAAAGCCGACAAGUUAUAUUCAUAAGUCUUUCGGGAAAGUAUCUGUAUCUGUAGUGACAGCUGAGUUGGAUGAAAAGAACAACAUUCUCUUAUCAGUUAUGUCAAGAGCAAGAAGAGGUCCCCACUGAAACAGACUGCAUGGAUAGUGGCAGUGUCUACAGCACAGUCUACGCCCAACCAUCCUGCUCAAGGCUGUGUACCGAAAUUGUAGGGUCUCACAAGUGUUUACAGCAGGAGAGUGUUUCCUACCCAGUGCCAGAAGUGCUGUACAGAGAAACCUGGCAACUUUUCCAAGGUCAUUCAUGAAAUGCAAACACUUUGUUUUCUCAUUAUCUAUUAUGACUUUUGAAUUGCUGUGAAGGAACAAGGAAGGAGAUAGCCCAAGACAAAUGAUUUUUCUUAUUUGCAAAAGGAGUCUUGCAGACCUGAAAGAGGUGUGAGCUACAGUCUUUCCGUUAAUGUGAGUUACUGACAGUUCUAAUAUUUACUGACCAAAGUGAUUCAUCAUCAUACAAUCAGUAAUCACGGUAUUUUGGGAUCUUCAGAAAUUUCCGCUGCCUUGAGAAGCCGUGUCAGGGCCCCCAGAAUAAGGACACAAAAGAAACAGCUGGUUUUGACUGAACAUGGGAAAUCACAUGGCUGUUGUUGAUAACAUCCUGCAAAUACACACAUAAACCUCAUCUUUUUAAGAGAAUGACACACAGAAGAAGACUUGAUACUUUUAUAAGAGCACCUUUCUCUAUAAUUCUGAAGACUGCAGUAUCAGUGGCAAAACACCACAAGGAAAGGCAAAGGGAUCAUUUUGUCUCUGGAACCUUAGUGGAUGAUUCUGCAACAUGGAAGGAAGGAACAAAGAGGAUGUGCCAAACAUAAGAAAAGAAAACCAACCCAACUAACCAAACAAAUCCUCUUAAGGUAAAAUAGGAAGGAAAGUUAAGGCAAAAGUUUUGAGGAGACCGAGAAAAAAGGCAGGAAAGCUUCAGACCAACUUCUCACACCAGAAUUUUCAACAGUAUGCCUCAACUGCUUAUGCAAGUUUUGUCUGUCUCCCUGCUGAAUUUAAAAGGAGCUGAAAGAGUCUAAUUCAGCCUUAGAUAUUUAGCCUAUAACUAAAUUCAGGCAGAUUUCUUAUGGACAGUGAUAGCUUACUACUGUUUUAAUGACAGAGAUGCCCUUUUUUGUGAAGCAGGAAAAAAAAAAAAAGUGUUCUUCCAGUUUGAAGGCUCAUUAUUCCCUGUUUCUGCUGGGACAUUCAUGUGUGCAUCAGAACAGUGCUCCAAUAGCCAUAUCUGGAAAGGAAUAUGUUUUAAGCAUGGCCCAUUGCAGUUCAUGGACUGGCAUGAAGGCUUUGUCCACCUUGUCCUACCCAGCCACAUCCUUUCUGUCUUCUGUCAGAAUUUUGUCUGAUGACUUUCAACUCCCAAGUAAGUUUGACCUCAUGUACACUUAUGAAUGAAAUACUGGGCCGAUAUUAUCUGCUUAGCAUAGUUGACAUAAUUGGAACUAUGUUGAUUUAUACCAGAAAUGGGGCCAUUAAAUCUGUGAGAAAUGUUAGGGAGGCAAAGGAAUGAUAAAAUAGCUAAAAGAAGUUACCUGGCUUUUAAAAGUGAAAGGUGUCUCUCUAUUAUUACUCUUCUUAAGUUAUUAAAUUGAAAUUGAUAUUUCAUGUAGAAAGAUCUUAACAAGUCAAAAAGAUGUGUAUUUGCCUUUACCUGAACUCUGCACCAACAUUUCGUAAGGGAAACAACCUUGCUUUAUUUUAUGGCAUUUGUUCUUCUUGAGAUCUGUAUGUUACCCAGCAAUAUUCAGUGAGGCCUAAAGAUACUGCAGACGUGGUGUGACAAUCUUUUUAUUUUUUUAGCUAGCUACCGUCACCUUUUCAGCAAAUUAGUGCCUUGGAAUUUAACCUUCGUCUUUAAUCCAUCUGAGGCUUUUUCUCAUAACUCACUUCUGGAGGAACAUUAGCGGAUGCGAGUUUUCUCCCAGAGAGGGAUAUGCCAUCCUUCUAUUUUAAAUCAAAAACUGUUUUUGCAAAUUAGCCAAAGGAGACAGGCUUUAAGUGUCCUGCAAAAAUCCUUCAGCACAGUAUCUGGAUCUUUUGCUCUGCUUACUUUAAAUUAGGUAGGUAGAAGUGGACUUAAAUUGAAAGGAAAUAGCAAAAGGAACAGAAUACUUAUGUGUUUCAGACCUUUCACUUUCAACAGAGCUUGACAACUGGCAUAGCCCACACUUCACUGAAAUAAUUAUUUUGACUUUACAACAAAGUGAUCUGGAUAUAGAUAGGAGCAAAAUGAAUUGACCAACGCAAUGUCCAGAAUGGUCUAACCAACUUUUGGCAAUAAUGAGCAGUUACUCCACUACAUGUGGGAGUACAUACUGUCAUCUUUCUAUCAUACUCCAUGGAAUUGAAACUUGCAAUUUCUGGUUGUACAUCUAGAUUAAGCAUAUACAGACUAAGUUUAUGGCCUGUUUUCUAUGUCUCAAACUUCUUCCUGCAAAAACAAAAAGUAGUGUAACUAUGUGUAAGGAAAAAUAAGAGUUACAGACAAGGCUGGCCUGCCCACAAUUAGAAGCUGAGUGUGACAGACUAGGAUGUCAGCACCAUGUUUGGAAUGUUUUCAGGUCCUUGUCUACAAGUCACCAUUGCUAAACUGUCAUUGCCAAGUAAGGAUCUUUCAUUGCUAUCACCAAGAAAGUGAAUCUGGUAUAAGUCUACUUUUAGAAGAGCUGGAGAAGCUACAAAAAUGGGAGCUGAGGAUGGUAAGAUGGCUGGUAAGACUUUUCAGAUAAGGACAUAGGAAACCAUAUGGGAAUCUUCAGGCUAAAGAGUAGGCAGAUGGCAGGACACAUGUUCUUUACCAUUCAUGUAUAAUCAUGAAGAUCAUUCCCCACAUCAAAAAUAAUAAAGUGCACACAGUGAAAUAACCAGGCAUCACAAUUUUCUCAUACAAGAUAUUUUAUAGUGAAAGUAAUUGUGGGAAUAUCAUGGUAUAUCAAAAAUUGUAAAUUAUAAAUCAGAAGUAGAUUGGACGAGCUCAUGCAUGCUAAGUCCCAUCACUGACUAUGGUCUCAUGCAACUCGAGGUUCAUGAGGGCUCUACACAUUGAUAAUGGGAAACUACAAGGGCAUAAAAAAAGGCAGAUCAGUCUGUAUGUCUUUUCUGCUUGUAUUCUUGCCUCAAGCAUCUUAUUUCUGGAGGGAAAGUUCAGCCAGUUGUUUGGAAGCGGCACACACAGUACAGCUGAUAGCACACUUUCUUUUUCUCUACUUGCACUGUUAAUUAAAUAGAGGACCUUAGUCUGAAAGACAAUCAGAUAAGCUGAUCAAUAUGACACUUUAAGCCAAGCCAAAAAUAUCUGAAAGAAAAUAUAAUAAAGGUAAAAAGUAAAAAGUAUAAUAAAAAGUCACGGCUAACAGGAGA